UAAAAGACUCUCGACAAGGGAUAUCUCGUCUCUCGCAUAGAUGAAGAAAAUAGAAAAAUGAGAUACUUGGUGAGAAUUGCAGAAUCCCGCGAACCAUAGAGUCUUUGAACGCAAGUUGCCCCAGAACCCAUUAGGUAGGGGGCGCGCGCGCGGGGGUGUCUCGUGGU
rnacentral:rRNA from 1 species